ACAGGCGCUGAUCGUUUGGACUGAGACCUCCAUCUUGAAUUUAGGAAUUUCAAUAAAAUGUUUCAUGUGUUUGGAUAAUUUAUCUUUCUCAUGGCCUUGAAACAGCACCGACCUACAUAACAGCAUCACAUUAACGACGAGGUGCUCAUAUUUCAUGUGUCUGGAUAACUUAUCUUUAUUACUGCCAUGAAACAACGCUGAUUUACAUAACAGCAUCACAUUGAUGACGAGGGUUGAGGGUGAUUUGGAUACCGGAACUUUCACCGGAAGUUGGGGAGAACAUUUAUGUGAUGCUGUCGACAGCUACUUUACACGCCAUCAUCGAGUCCACCCAUAAUCGAGUGGACCCAUCAUCGAGUGGACCCAGCAAGUGGACCCAUCAUCAAGUCGACCGAUCAUCGAGUGGGCCCAUCCUCAAGUGGACCCUUCAUAUAGUCUACCCAUAAUCAAGUGGACCCAUCAUCGAGUGGACCCAUCGAGUGGACCCAUCAUGGGCAGAUCUCCUGCAAGAGUACUCGGCUUAAGGACUUUAAGAUUGUACCACCUUUAUUUGACAAAGCGUCUACAGGACCAGUACAAGAAAGCAAAUGUCUCUAUCACCCUACUGGACCAUUGAAAAAAAGCAGUUGUUUCUAUAUAUAUUCAAUAAUGCAAACAUCAUUUUUUUAAAAAUUAGUUUCAGAACCUUAGGUCACUAGGAAGACACUGAUUAAAAGUAUCUUAUUUUUAUUUGACUAGCUUCACAAGAAUUUUGUUUGAAAUAAAAAUAAAAUUACUGUAUAAUCAUAAGCUUUUAAGCGGAAUAAGAAUAAUUAUUCAUAUACAACCUAGCUAUUUACAGAAUUUAAUAAUUCUUUCAGUUUUUUAAGGAAGUCUGUAGCACGUAGUUGUAGAAUCUUGCAACUCAUCGUAGACAAUAUUCUUACUCUCUGGUCAGCUAUUAUAUUUAAAACCAACCAGCCGUUAUCACCAAGUCAUGCCCUCGGUUAGCUGAUACAGAGAUCGCAAAUACUUUAAUGGUUAUUUGCCCUUUUGAAUUGUAGUAGUGUUUUUAAAUAAGCUUCAUUAGCAUAACCUAAAACUAACCCCACGAUCUACACCCAGUCACUUAUCCCACACCAUACACACAAUUUACCACACUCCAAACCUCACCCAUACCAAAAUCCACACCACCUUACACAGUACGACACCACGAACUACACACCUAACCAAACCCCCGCACAACACCGGCCCACACUUCAACACUCUCUUGAACGCCACCCGACAUCCUAAACCACAACAUCGCACACCCCACCCCGCAAAAAAACACUACACCCUACAAUGCACAUUUAAAACCCACUGUCCAGGAUUUAUAUCCCUUUACUGUACAUUGCCCAACCCACAUCUCAGCCGCGCUACUUACAUGAUCCACACCCAGUUACUUAUCCCACGCCAUUCCCAAUACACCACAGCCUACUUACAUUAUCCACACCCAGUUACUUAUCCCACGCCAUUCCCAAUACACCACAGCCUACUUACAUGAUCU